GACGAACGCUGGCGGCGUGCUUAACACAUGCAAGUCGAGCGGUAAGGCCCUUUCGGGGGUACGACGAGCGGCGAACGGGUGAGUAACACGUGGGUGACCUGCCCUCAGCUCUGGGAUAAGCCUGGGAAACCGGGUCUAAUACCGGAUAUGACUCCAUGACGCAUGUUGUGGGGUGGAAAGCCUUGUGCGGCUGAGGAUGGGCCCGCGGCCUAUCAGCUUGUUGGUGGGGUGANGGCCUACCAAGGCGACGACGGGUAGCCGGCCUGAGAGGGCGACCGGCACACUGGGACUGAGACACGGCCCAGACUCCUACGGGAGGCAGCAGUGGGGAAUCUUGCGCAAUGGGCGAAAGCCUGACGCAGCGACGCCGCGUGAGGGAUGACGGCCUCGGUUGUAACGUACUUCUA
rnacentral:rRNA from 1 species